rnacentral:rRNA from 1 species
AUUGGGCCUAAAGCGUCCGUAGCUGGCCGCACAAGUCUAUCGGAAAAUCCACCCGCUCAACGGGUGGGCGUCCGGUAGAAACUGUGUGGCUUGGGACCGGAAGGCGCGACGGGUACGUCCGGGGUAGGAGUGAAAUCCCGUAAUCCUGGACGGACCGCCGAUGGCGAAAGCACGUCGCGAAGACGGAUCCGACAGUGAGGGACGAAAGCUAGGGUCUCGAACCGGAUUAGAUACCCGGGUAGUCCUAGCCGUAAACAAUGCCUGCUAGGUGUGGCUCCCACUACGAGUGGGUGCUGUGCCGUAGGGAAGCCGCUAAGCAGGCCGCCUGGGAAGUACGUCCGCAAGGAUGAAACUUAAAGGAAUUGGCGGGGGAGCACUACAACCGGAGGAGCCUGCGGUUUAAUUGGACUCAACGCCGGACAUCUCACCAGCAUCGACUGUAGUAAUGACGAUCAGGUUGAUGACCUUAUCCGAGCUUCAGAGAGGAGGUGCAUGGCCGCCGUCAGCUCGUACCGUGAGGCGUCCUGUUAAGUCAGGCAACGAGCGAGACCCGCAUCCUUACUUGCCAGCAGCACUGCGAAGUGGCUGGGGACAGUAGGGAGACCGCCGUGGCCAACACGGAGGAAGGAACGGGCAACGGUAGGUCAGUAUGCCCCGAAUGUGCUGGGCAACACGCGGGCUACAAUGGUCGAGACAAAGGGUUCCUACUCCGAAAGGAGACGGUAAUCUCAGAAACUCGAUCGUAGUUCGGAUUGUGGGCUGCAACUCGCCCACAUGAAGCUGGAUUCGGUAGUAAUCGCGUGUCAUAAGC